rnacentral:rRNA from 1 species
GAUGAACGCUAGCGGCAGGCCUAACACAUGCAAGUCGAGGGGCAGCGCGGUGUAGCAAUACACUGGCGGCGACCGGCGCACGGGUGAGUAACGCGUAUGCAACCUGCCCUCCGCAGGGGGAUAGCCCGCCGAAAGGCGGAUUAAUACCCCAUCGACCUGGGGCCCGGCAUCGGGGCCCGGGUAAAGGAGCGAUCCGGCGGGGGAUGGGCAUGCGUGCCAUUAGCUAGCUGGCGGGGUAACGGCCCACCAGGGCGACGAUGGCUAGGGGGUCUGAGAGGAUGGUCCCCCCACACUGGUACUGAGACACGGACCAGACUCCUACGGGAGGCAGCAGUGAGGAAUAUUGGUCAAUGGGCGGAAGCCUGAACCAGCCAUGCCGCGUGCAGGACGACAGCCCUACGGGUUGUAAACUGCUUUUCCGGGGGAAGAAUAAGGCCCACGCGUGGGUCGAUGCCGGUACCCCGGGAAUAAGGAUCGGCUAACUCCGUGCCAGCAGCCGCGGUAAU